GCCAAGGUCAUCCAAGAAAAAUAUUGUGGCAGCCAUCAUUCACCGCCACGAAAAGAGGACAGUCGUUCAUUGUUCGUUGGAUUGAACAAGAAAUCCUCCACGGAUUAUAUCCUUAGGAAAUUGCUGGAAGACGGGACAUUAUGAUAGGCGUAGUGAUUUUAAUACUCUGCGUCGCCUUGACGUCACUGUGGCUGAUUGCGAAGAGGUGGAUGCGAAGAUAUCGUCUUCCGGCCGGAAAGAGACUGCCACCCAUGCCACCAGUACGGUCUAUUCGGGGGCACGUAGAGCUGCAUAGCAAGAACUUCCUCUACACUAAAGCAAUUGAGUGGUCGAAAACUUACGGCCCGGUUUUCAGGUGCAGACUUGACUAUAUAGAGGUGGUUAUUAUGAACGACACAGAGAGCAUAAGAAAAUAUAUAAACAAGAACGAAGUCCUUCAACGUUCAGAGUCAGUCAUCACGGGAAGGGACUACUAC